rnacentral:tRNA from 1 species
AAGAUUUUAAGUUAAUAAAAACUAUUAACCUUCAAAGUUAAAAAUAAUAAAACUUACUAUUAAAUCUUA